rnacentral:lncRNA from 1 species
UUAUCUGUUCCGAUAAGGUUUCCGUGCGAUUGCUGAACACGCAGGUGACGAGAUCUACGGGUAAACUCGGUUCUCUGUGUUGGAUUUUAUGAAAUUGGAGGAUUAGGUAAAACAACAACCGCUGUAAAAUCUCAUCUCCAUUAUAGUUAGUUGUUGUUUUUCCUAUUCCACCAAUUUCAUGUAUCACUGUUGUGAGAACGCGGGUUCUUAGUCUCUGUCUUUCAAUGGCUACUUCCAUCGAACGUUAAUCUUUGCAUCAGGAGAACACAGGUACACUGCCUUCUUACUCCGCUUCGAUCUCCAACUAAAUUCAUUUUAAGAUUAUUAACUCAUUUUUUUGUUUUUUUUACUUAUUUUUCUCGAUUUUGGCCAGAAAUUAGUUGACGGAUAUGAGAGUUUUAGGGUUUACUGGUUGUCUGUUUAUAAGAGAUGUUUGAUACUUUUGGAUCUGAUUUCUUCAACUUACAAAAUCUGUUAUCUCAAAAUUGUGAGAUUAAACUUAGUGAACAACAUAAACAAACUUAAAAUGCUUCUACGUAUCCUGAAUUGAUUUUAAGAAAACUUAACUUAUCUGUUAUAAAUUAAUACUUUUAAAUUAAUAGAAGACACUCAUUUCUUGUCAUUUUUCAACCAACUGCUGAGUUAAUUUUAUGGACAGGAUACACAAACAACUGUACUUAUUAUACAUUUUCUUUUCUUUUCUCAUUAUAUUAUAUAUAUUUUAUAAAUCUAUAUUUGUUAUUAUGCUCUUUUUUUAUUAUAUUAUAUACCAUAUAAAUUUAUUAUUACUAUUUUUUCUUUCUUAGGUGUACAUUAAUGUUUUAGGUGCACUGAAACAUUUUC